rnacentral:rRNA from 1 species
UACAGAGGUGGCAAGCGUUGUUCGGAAUUACUGGGCGUAAAGGGCGCGUAGGCGGCCUUCUUAGUCGGACGUGAAAUCCCCAGGCUUAACUUGGGAACUGCGUCCGAUACUGGAUGGCUUGAGUGCGGGAGAGGGAUGUGGAAUUCCAGGUGUAGCGGUGAAAUGCGUAGAUAUCUGGAGGAACACCGGUGGCGAAGGCGGCAUCCUGGACCGACACUGACGCUGAGGCGCGAAAGCUAGGGGAGCAAACGGG